AAUUUCCAUGCUCCGAUACACCAAAGCUGCACCAAAUCCUUAACGGCUUUAUUUGUUCUCAGAACCUUUUUCUUUUUCUACUUCAGGUUAAGAAGUAUAUGUUGAAAGCUAUGCAAGCAACAAUGUACCCAAACUGAACAUCCUGUACUUUCAAAGGAUAUCUCGGGUCUUCACCCCAAAUUCAUGCAAUCUCCCAAACUAACACAUCAAAAACAAAAAGGAAACAACAACUUUCUACAUAAGCCAAAAUGUAUCUAAAUUUCUCAACUGAAUUGAAAAUGGGAGACUGGGUGGAAGCAAGAUUUCCCUUUUCACUAUCCACCUAGUCAUCCAUUUCUACCCUCAUAGUUAUUUAAGUCCUAUAGCAUUCCAUUAACUGUGUUCUCCCCAAUGCCAACAAGACUUUUGGUACACAGUAGGUGUUCAAUAAAUAUUAGCAGUGUAUGAAUGGAUGGUUUGUUUUG
rnacentral:lncRNA from 1 species